AGAGAGAGCUUGCUUUCUCGAGCGAGUGGCGAACGGGUGAGUAACGCGUGAGGAACCUGCCUCAAAGGAGGGGGACAACAGUUGGAAACGACUGCUAAUACCGCAAUAACGACCCGACGGCGUCGGCAUCGGAGCAGGGGGAAAAGGAGCAAUCCGCUUUGAGAUGGCCUCGCGUCCGAUUAGCUAGUUGGUGAGGUAAUGGCCCACCAAGGCAACGAUCGGUAGCCGGACUGAGAGGUUGAACGGCCACAUUGGGACUGAGACACGGCCCAGACUCC
rnacentral:rRNA from 1 species